rnacentral:rRNA from 1 species
GAUGAACGCUGGCGGCGUGCCUAAUACAUGCAAGUCGAGCGGUAAGGCCCUUCGGGGUACACGAGUGGCGAACGGGUGAGUAACACGUGGGUGAUCUGCCCUGCACUUCGGGAUAAGCCUGGGAAACUGGGUCUAAUACCGGAUAGGACUCCGGACUGCAUGGUCUGGGGUGGAAAGCUUUUGCGGUGUGGGAUGGGCCCGCGGCCUAUCAGCUUGUUGGUGGGGUGAUGGCCUACCAAGGCGACGACGGGUAGCCGGCCUGAGAGGGUGACCGGCCACACUGGGACUGAGAUACGGCCCAGACUCCUACGGGAGGCAGCAGUGGGGAAUAUUGCACAAUGGGCGCAAGCCUGAUGCAGCGACGCCGCGUGAGGGAUGACGGCCUUCGGGUUGUAAACCUCUUUCAGCAUCGACGAAGCGAAAGUGACGGUAGGUGCAGAAGAAGGACCGGCCAACUACGUGCAGCAGCCGCGGUAA